rnacentral:rRNA from 1 species
AGCGAACGCUGGCGGCAGGCCUAACACAUGCAAGUCGAACGAACUCUUCGGAGUUAGUGGCGGACGGGUGAGUAACACGUGGGAACGUGCCUUUAGGUUCGGAAUAACUCAGGGAAACUUGUGCUAAUACCGAAUGUGCCCUUCGGGGGAAAGAUUUAUCGCCUUUAGAGCGGCCCGCGUCUGAUUAGCUAGUUGGUGAGGUAAAGGCUCACCAAGGCGACGAUCAGUAGCUGGUCUGAGAGGAUGAUCAGCCACAUUGGGACUGAGACACGGCCCAAACUCCUACGGGAGGCGGCAGUGGGGAAUCUUGCGCAAUGGGCGAAAGCCUGACGCAGCCAUGCCGCGUGAAUGAUGAAGGUCUUAGGAUUGUAAAAUUCUUUCACCGGGGACGAUAAUGACGGUACCCGGAGAAGAAGCCCCGACUAACUUCGUG